rnacentral:rRNA from 1 species
AACGAACGCUGGCGGCAUGCCUAACACAUGCAAGUCGAACGAUCCCUUCGGGGAUAGUGGCGCACGGGUGCGUAACGCGUGGGAACCUGCCCUUAGGUUCGGAAUAUCUCAGAGAAAUUUGAGCUAAUACCGGAUAAUGUCUUCGGACCAAAGAUUUAUCGCCUUUGGAUGGGCCCGCGUUGGAUUAGCUAGUUGGUGGGGUAAAGGCCUACCAAGGCGACGAUCCAUAGCUGGUCUGAGAGGAUGAUCAGCCACACUGGGACUGAGACACGGCCCAGACUCCUACGGGAGGCAGCAGUGGGGAAUAUUGGACAAUGGGCGAAAGCCUGAUCCAGCAAUGCCGCGUGAGUGAUGAAGGCCUUAGGGUUGUAAAGCUCUUUUACCCGGGAUGAUAAUGACAGUACCGGGAGAAUAAGCCCCGGCUAACUCCGUG